UGAACGCUGGCGGCCGGCCUAACACAUGCAAGUCGAGCGGAUGAAGGGAGCUUGCUCCUGGAUUCAGCGGCGGACGGGUGCGUAAUGCCUAGGAAUCUGCCUGGUAGUGGGGGAUAACGUCCGGAAACGGGCGCUAAUACCGCAUACGUCCUGAGGGAGAAAGUGGGGGAUCUUCGGACCUCACGCUAUCAGAUGAGCCUAGGUCGGAUUAGCUAGUUGGUGGGGUAAAGGCCUACCAAGGCGACGAUCCGUAACUGGUCUGAGAGGAUGAUCAGUCACACUGGAACUGAGACACGGUCCAGACUCCUACGGGAGGCAGCAGUGGGGAAUAUUGGACAAUGGGCGAAAGCCUGAUCCAGCCAUGCCGCGUGUGUGAAGAAGGUCUUCGGAUUGUAAAGCACUUUAAGUUGGGAGGAAGGGCAGUAAGUUAAUACCUUGCUGUUUUGACGUUACCAACAGAAUAAGCACCGGCUAACUUCGUG
rnacentral:rRNA from 1 species